GUUGUAUGGCGUUAUAUAACGUUCAACUUUAUAGCCUAAAAAAGUAUUAGUUUCUUUACACAAGAAACUAAUACUUUGGGCUCUUAUCUCAAGUGAUGUGCGCAAGUCAGCUUUAUGAUUAUGUGUUAAAAGCCGAGUGUGUAGGUUUUGACUGGAUGUUGCUGUACAAAGUUUCAGAUCAAUAGCUUUUGUUGUCAUGAUGAUGGCUGUACAACAGUUAAUACUAUUAUCACACAACUGCGUAUAACGCAAAAUUCAUCACGUUUGACACUUUUUUGAGAUUGUGUAUUAUUCUCGUGAGUCUGAGACCUGACGAGCAACUAUUGUUCCGGCAAUAUUAUGGAAAAUGGCAAAAUGCGUACAUGUUGUUUACCACACAAAAAAAUGAACUAUUUUAUUUGAGCUUUAAAUCUGGGGAAAAAAGACUUCUAAAAUCACAAUUUUAUCAAUAACAAAAAUUUUUUGGUUUUGUUGUUGUUUUCUAACAAGGCGUGUUCUCACGUUCCCACUCGGGAAAGCCCUUCAGUACAUUUUUUUCCAUGAAAAAAGGUAAACGAGUACAUACCAUUGCAAACUAUUAACUGGUUGUAGCUAUACCUUUCAUUUUCCUGCUAUUAUUAAAGAUAUGGUUGAGAGAACAUUAUCGUUAUGUUCGUUCCAAGCGAUGUCUAACGAAGCACGAAAAUUAUUUCUGAUCUUACCCAAUUUUACAUCACAUCCUAACAUUUGUCUGAAGUAUACAAAGUUGCGUCACCUGAUCGAAAAAGGUUUUUGUUUCUUGUCAACCUACAUGAUCAAAGAUAAAGCCUUUCAAAUAAUUCAUAAGGAUAACGUGAGUGCGGUCGCCAUGUCUACCGGAUCAAUAAUCUGGUACACAUUGAAACAUCAGAUGAGUACAGAGACUCCAAGCCCUACAGUUGUGUUAACCGAUGUGAUAGAAAACCAAUACACAUCACAUGUUGUGGCUGUGAAUUUUCUGGUGUCGUCCUGGACACAAUGACAAACACAAGGGUGGCAUUAAAAUGUAAAGAAACUCAACAAGUAGUAUACCCUAGUACAGACAAUUCUAACUCAUAAAACUGCAAAAGAACAAAGCAAGGAAAAAAAUAAAAUUUAAUUGACGAAUGCCAUACUGUUUUAAAAUGGAUAUCUGGUAGAACGAAAAACCCUCGUAAAAAACUAGUCUUGUUUUUUUGCUCAUUAAGGAAACGAACCCUCUACUCACUGCAACAUUUUACAGCUUGGUGUCCGUGUAUCCAAAUAACCCCAAUAUUGAAAACUGUAAAGAAAAGUAACUGUACUGUAUACACUAAAUAUGACAUAUCCUCUACACAAUCUCUUUGAGUCUAGAUAGAGCUUUUCUUAUAAACGGGGGCAUUGAGUAUACAUGAGAAAAUGACCGCUGUCUGCCUGUCUCUCGUGGUUACUGUUUGUCGACUGUCGUUGGCCUGGAAAUAAUCCGGCAAUGAUGCUGUAGGCGUUGUCGGCACAAGAAAAUCAUUAAUCAGAACAUGGUUCUGUGCAACUGUUACAUUUAUAAUUUUUUCUGAGGGAGGGGGGUUGUAUAAUUGUUCUUGAUGACCAACUAAUUUUAAAGAGGACAUUUUUUUGUCCUGGUCAGAGAUUUUACGGAAUUGAGAAGUAAAAAGUUUUUGUGACGGUUGAAAUUUCAUCUGUGGCAGACGACACAGGAAAGUAAAAUGGCGGAGAAGAUUUAAACCAGUUGUGGGAGCCAGAGUGAAACGCAAUUUAUUUUAAAUAAUGAUGAUUUGGACUACUAAUGCAACAUCUGUCGUCCAUUUUUAGCCCACCUGUACUACUGUCCACUCGCUCGUAAAGAAUUUACCGUCUGUGUAGACCAUACAACACGUAAGAGUAAAGCCUGCGGGCAUCAGUUUUGAGAACGUUUCUGUUUCACCACGGACUUGCCAACACCUGUUCUUUUACGUAUUUUUGUUUUCACGCCUAACAGCAUUUUUUUUUCAAAAAUUUAAAACCGCAUAGUGACUGUCUCUUUGAAUGCUUCCUGCUCUUACUGAAUGAGCUACAAAAGAAAGUCUAGAUCACGAAAUCGGGCCAUCAUCACGACAUCUUUAAAUGGUUGCAGUGUGAUAUGAACCAAACAAACUCUGACUUGUCAAACGUGCGAAAAUGACAGCAACGAAGGAAGAUUGCCUCGAGGCAAAGAAGAUAUAGUAGCUGUCGUCGCGGGAUCGUGCUACUUGUUUAGUUUUUUUUUUUACUUAUCAAUGGUGCCCAUAAGACAACAAAGUAGUUCUGUUGGUUUUUUCACGUCUAAGCUAUCCAAUUUUGCUAAAUCACGACAGUUGGAGCUAUAUACUGUACAACUAGUAAACAACAAAAUAUCAGCCUGUAAAAAAAUUAAAAAUGGCUUCUUCCAGGCCUUUGUCAUGUUAGCGAUUUUAUUCUAAGAAAGAAAAAAACUCUUCUAUUUUGACAUGGUCUCCAAUUCCAAACAGUAGUAGCUAUUUAUAUCAUUCCUGCUAAUACCUGUAAAUCCAACAGUUUGAAUGUUUUCCAACUAGAUGACCUAAAACGAUGUCCUAACAAAAACAUUUGAUUGUACGACGGUAAAACUAAAGAAAUUUAAUAUAUUUAACUCAAAAAAAUUUCUCUUUUUACAUGGGCAAUAAUUAGUAAGACACCAAGCUGUCAGCAGUUCUCAUGUCGUCGAAUUUGUUAUGUCCACAACAUUUUUGGAUUGGAAACGACAUUGAGAAAUUGGUGUUGAGUCUUUGUCGGCUCUCAUAACCAAAUAAGGUCCAGCAUCUUGUCUCGGAGUUCAUCAACGUCUCAUCCAAGAAAAUUCUCACAUUAUUCCAGUAUAGUUACUAUAAUGUAUUCUUUUCCGGUGUGUGUGUAUCUCUAAAUAGACAAUUAUAUGAAGUUUAACAGUGUAUAAUGGAACAAAAUAAAUCGAUGGGUACUACGUGUUGUUUUUUUAGCUUCAUGCAUAUAUAUAUGUAUAUACACAGACAAUGUGUCAAUAACAAAAGGUACAAGGAAGAACACACAUAAGUGCAGCAUAAUUCAAAAUCACGUUUACAUAUUCUUCGAUUUUUCCAAGUGAUGAGGUAUCGUGAGCAGAUUUUCUUUUAAAUGUAAGGACAGAAUUCAAUUUGAAAGGUUCAGGUAAAAAUCACAUUCAAAAGCUCGCGUACUACGAGCAAACAUAAAUGCAUUGGUUUUAUAUUGAAACAGUUCACACUCACACACAUAAAGACAAUAAUUAUUUACCAUUUGACCACAAAAACAGCUGAUAACACAUUUUACAACAACUAAAAAAAUUAUACAGCUACAAGCGAAAGAGAACGGGAAUCAGAAUUAAUAAAACAUGAUGUGGGCUUCCAAUUGGGGACGUUUUCAACAUACCAGAUAAUUCCAACUAGCAAAAAAAAAAAGUAGGGGACAAUUCAAAUGUUUACUGAUGA